AGCAUUCAUCCGCCUUCUCCGGUUUCCAAGAUAAUAUCAAAAGGCGUAUCUGCGUCUGCCUCGCCGCUGGGAGAACCCAUUCUUCUGGCCAGACGUAGCGGCCGGCACUCCGCUCUCCGCUGAUAAACUUGCCGAAACAUUUCCAGGCGGAGCGCCGUGUGAUGCCGGGCGUGGGCGCGCACGAUGGCGCCCCCCGCUAGCUCCAGCCGCAGCGCAGCCGCCGCCAGC